rnacentral:rRNA from 1 species
UACGUAGGGUGCAAGCGUUAAUCGGAAUUACUGGGCGUAAAGCGUGCGCAGGCGGUUUUGUAAGUCUGUGGUGAAAGUCCGGGGCUCAACCUCGGAUCGGCCGUGGCGACUCGUGGGCUGGAGCACUGUAGAGGCGGGUGGAAUUCCGGGUGUAGCGGUGGAAUGCGUAGAGAUCCGGAAGAACACCAGUGGCGAAGGCGGCCCGCUGGGCAGUGGCUGACGCUGAGGCGCGACAGCGUGGGGGAGCAAACAGG